CGGGUGCGUAACGCGUGGGAAUCUGCCCUUUGGUUCGGAAUAACAGCUGGAAACGGCUGCUAAUACCGGAUGAUGACGAAAGUCCAAAGAUUUAUCGCCAGAGGAUGAGCCCGCGUUGGAUUAGGUAGUUGGUGGGGUAAAGGCCUACCAAGCCGACGAUCCAUAGCUGGUCUGAGAGGAUGAUCAGCCACACUGGGACUGAGACACGGCCCAGACUCCUACGGGAGGCAGCAGUGGGGAAUAUUGGACAAUGGGCGAAAGCCUGAUCCAGCAAUGCCGCGUGAGUGAUGAAGGCCCUAGGGUUGUAAAGCUCUUUUACCCGGGAAGAUAAUGACUGUACCGGGAGAAUAAGCCCCGGCUAACUCCGUGCCAGCAGCCGCGGUAAUACGGAGGGGGCUAGCGUUGUUCGGAAUUACUGGGCGUAAAGCGCACGUAGGCGGCUUUGUAAGUCAGAGGUGAAAGCCUGGAGCUCAACUCCAGAACUGCCUUUGAGACUGCAUCGCUUGAAUCCAGGAGAGGUCAGUGGAAUUCCGAGUGUAGAGGUGAAAUUCGUAGAUAUUCGGAAGAACACCAGUGGCGAAGGCGGCUGACUGGACUGGUAUUGACGCUGAGG
rnacentral:rRNA from 1 species